CACGUAGGCUGUUAUGUAAGUCAGGGGUGAAAUCCCACGGCUCAACCGUGGAACUGCCCUUGAUACUGCACGACUUGAAUCCGGGAGAGGGUGGCGGAAUUCCAGGUGUAGGAGUGAAAUCCGUAGAUAUCUGGAGGAACAUCAGUGGCGAAGGCGGCCACCUGGACCGGUACUGACGCUGAGGUGCGAAAGCGUGGGGAGCAAACA
rnacentral:rRNA from 1 species